rnacentral:rRNA from 1 species
GACGAACGCUGGCGGCGUGCUUAACACAUGCAAGUCGAACGGAAAGGCCCUGCUUUUGUGGGGUGCUCGAGUGGCGAACGGGUGAGUAACACGUGAGUAACCUGUCCUUGACUUUGGGAUAACUUCAGGAAACUGGGGCUAAUACCGGAUAGGAGCUCCUGCUGCAUGGUGGGGGUUGGAAAGUUUCGGCGGUUGGGGAUGGACUCGCGGCUUAUCAGCUUGUUGGUGGGGUAGUGGCUUACCAAGGCAUUGACGGGUAGCCGGCCUGAGAGGGUGACCGGCCACAUUGGGACUGAGAUACGGCCCAGACUCCUACGGGAGGCAGCAGUGGGGAAUAUUGCACAAUGGGCGGAAGCCUGAUGCAGCAACGCCGCGUGCGGGAUGACGGCCUUCGGGUUGUAAACCGCUUUCGCCUGUGACGAAGCGUGAGUGACGGUAAUGGGUAAAGAAGCACCGGCUAACUACGUG